rnacentral:rRNA from 1 species
AUUGAACGCUGGCGGAAUGCUUUACACAUGCAAGUCGAACGGUAGAGGGGGCAACCCCUUGAGAGUGGCGAACGGGUGAGUAAUAUAUCGGAACGUGCCCAGUCGUGGGGAUAACGUAGCGAAAGUUACGCUAAUACCGCAUACGAUCUAAGGAUGAAAGCGGGGGAUCGCAAGACCUCGCGCGAUUGGAGCGGCCGAUAUCAGAUUAGGUAGUUGGUGAGGUAAAGGCUCACCAAGCCAACGAUCUGUAGCUGGUCUGAGAGGACGACCAGCCACACUGGAACUGAGACACGGUCCAGACUCCUACGGGAGGCAGCAGUGGGGAAUUUUGGACAAUGGCGCAAGCCUGAUCCAGCAAUGCCGCGUGCAGGAUGAAGGCCUC